rnacentral:lncRNA from 1 species
CCCUUUCUUCCUGUAAGCUGCUAUGGGAGUGAGUGCUUCUUGGAAGGGCAGUAGCUGGUUUGCAAUCUACAAGGACGAGUCUGAGGAUAGAGAGCCUCCAAGAAGACAUCCUGCCUUCAGGACAGGGAAGAUGCAGAGAGGGCGAGAGGCCAUUCCUUUCUACGUGUCAGCUUUCUAGUUUAAAAUCUACAGUCAGUGUUCAGUCUAUUCAGUCAUGCAGAGCACGUGAUCCCAGGACAUGAACUUUUGCAAAUCUCCAACAAAGACAAUAGACUAGAAGAGCAGGUUUCUCAAUUCUAGAAACAAAGUCUAGAGAAGGA